rnacentral:rRNA from 1 species
ACCGGCGGCCCGAGUGGUGAUCGUGAUUAUUGGGUCUAAAGGGUCCGUAGCCGGUUUGGUCAGUCUUCCGGGAAAUCUGAUAGCUUAACUAUUAGGCUUUCGGGGGAUACUGCCAGGCUUGGAACCGGGAGAGGUAAGAGGUACUACAGGGGUAGGAGUGAAAUCUUGUAAUCCCUGUGGGACCACCUGUGGCGAAGGCGUCUUACCAGAACGGGUUCGACGGUGAGGGACGAAAGCUGGGGGCACGAACCG